rnacentral:SRP_RNA from 1 species
UGCUGAUUGGGUGUCUGCACUAAGUUUGGAAUAAUUAUGGUGACCUCCCAGGAGUAGGGAACCACUGGGUUGCCUAAGGUGGGGUGAACCUGCCCAGGUCAGAAAUGGAGCAGGUCAAAACUCCCAUGCUAAUCAAUAGUGGGAUUGUGCCUGUGAA